rnacentral:tRNA from 1 species
GGGGCUAUAGCGCAGUUGGUAGCGCGCUUCCAUGGCAUGGAAGAGGUCGGGGGUUCGAUUCCCCCUAGCUCCA